UACGUAGGGUCCGAGCGUUGUCCGGAAUUACUGGGCGUAAAGAGCUCGUAGGUGGUUUGUCGCGUUGUUCGUGAAAACUCACAGCUCAACUGUGGGCGUGCGGGCGAUACGGGCAGACUAGAGUACUGCAGGGGAGACUGGAAUUCCUGGUGUAGCGGUGGAAUGCGCAGAUAUCAGGAGGAACACCAAUAGCGAAGGCAGCUCGCUGGGACGUUACUGACGCUGAGGCGCGAAAGCGUGGGGAGCGAACAGG
rnacentral:rRNA from 1 species